CGAGAAUCUUCGGCAAUGGGCGCAAGCCUGACCGAGCGACGCCGCGUGCGGGAUGAAGGCCUUCGGGUUGUAAACCGCUGUCGGAGGGGAGGAAAUGCGCGGGGGUUCUCCCUCGCGUUUGACCUAGCCUCAAAGGAAGGACGGGCUAAGUUCGUGCCAGCAGCCGCGGUAAGACGAACUGUCCAAACGUUACUCGGAAUUACUGGGCUUAAAGGGUGCGUAGGUGGCUCAGAAAGUUGGGUGUGAAAGCCCUCGGCUUAACCGAGGAGGGUCGCCCAAAACUACUGAGCUUGAGGAAGACAGAGGUGCGCGGAACUUGCGGUGGAGCGGUGAAAUGCGUUGAUAUCGCAAGGAACACCAGGGGCGAAAGCGGCGCACUGGGUCUUUUCUGACGCUGAGGCACGAAAGCUAGGGGAGCGAAGAG
rnacentral:rRNA from 1 species